rnacentral:rRNA from 1 species
GAUAAACUCCGAAUGCCAUGUACUUAUACUCGGGAGUCAGACUGCGAGUGAUAAGAUCCAUAGUCGAAAGGGAAACAGCCCAGACCACCAGUUAAGGUCCCCAAAUAUAUGUUAAGUGGAAAAGGAUGUGGGGUUGCUUAGACAACCAGGAUGUUGGCUUAGAAGCAGCCACCAUUGAAAGAGUGCGUAAUAGCUCACUGUUCGACUGACCCCGCGCCGAAAAUGUACCGGGGCUAAACAUAUCACC